rnacentral:rRNA from 1 species
UGGGGAAUUUUGGACAAUGGGCGAAAGCCUGAUCCAGCAAUGCCGCGUGUGUGAAGAAGGCCUUCGGGUUGUAAAGCACUUUUGUCCGGAAAGAAAUGGCUCUGGUUAAUACCUGGGGUCGAUGACGGUACCGGAAGAAUAAGGACCGGCUAACUACGUGCCAGCAGCCGCGGUAAUACGUAGGGUCCAAGCGUUAAUCGGAAUUACUGGGCGUAAAGCGUGCGCAGGCGGUUGUGCAAGACCGAUGUGAAAUCCCCGAGCUUAACUUGGGAAUUGCAUUGGUGACUGCACGGAUAGAGUGGGUCAGAGGGGGGUAGAAUUCCACGUGUAGCAGUGAAAUGCGUAGAGAUGUGGAGGAAUACCGAUGGCGAAGGCAGCCCCCUGGGAUAACACUGACGCUCAUGCACGAAAGCGUGGGGAGCAAACAGG